AACACCUUAGUUAUGUAAGAAUCCCUGGGCUGCUGUGAAGAGUGCCUAUGGCAGCAGAAUAAUGGUCUCCCGGAGGCGUACAUAUCCUAAUCCCUGCAACCUGUGGAUGCUACUUUCAUGGCAAAAUAAUUUUGGAACACAAGGAGGCAGAAAGAACUGUGUCCCAAUGUUGUGAGAAGAGAAAGACACAAUGAACCACUGCUGGCUUUGAAGAUGGAAGAGGGAGCUGCAACCCAAAGAAUGCCUCUAGAAGCAGGAGAAGGCAAGAAACAGAUUCUCGCCUAGAGCUUCCAGAAAGGAGCACAGUGCCAGCACUUUGAUGUUAGCCAUUCUUAAGAAGUGACUCUCCAGGGGAGCUAAAAUCCAUGUAUUUGGGCACACACUUGAACAAUAUUGCUAGAGAAAUUUAAGCAAGAGCACAAAGGCACUACGUUGUCUGGGAUGAUGGAAGGAGCUAAAGUCUUCAGUGAAUGAAGGAGCAGGACCAGGAGCUCAAAAUACUUCUUUGAAGACAAAGAAGAAAUGAUAUUACCAAAUGGUUGGCUCAAAAGAACAGGGAUUUUGCAACAGAGAGAGUAUGUCAUGGUCUUGAACAAGCAAUGUUUUGCCAGGACGAUUAAAUAUCAUUGAUGCUUCUGGUCUACAAUUAGUCAGAGAAGAGAUUAAAAAAAUGAUGAGUAUUCAAGAAGGAAAGUGUUUGCUUUAACAUAUGAAGAAAAGGAGCUUCAGAGUGGUGAUUAACCCCAGAAUUGUGUGGAACGGAUAUGGAAACAAGACCACAGGAGCAUCGAGAACUGAGCAGAACUGAAGGUGACAUGAAAAUCAGCUGCAAGAUUCACCUCAGGGUGAUAAUGGGCUGCAGGUGGCUGCAGGAAUCCCGGGACAUUCUAGGCACUGCCAUAUUUUCUUAGGGGCCAGUAAGGAUGGCUAUCAUCAGAUGUACCUGAUGAUACAAACAUGGGCUGUCUUGCCUUCUAGUAUUCAUUCUUGAUGAUUGCAUCCAGAGCUCACUUUGGAGGUGCAGAUCAACUCUUCUUCAGGCUCAUCCAUGCGACUUGAGUGGGCUCUCAUCCCCAUUCCCAGGGGCUUAUGACAAUCAAGGUUUCCACUCCUCCAUGGUCUCAAUGGUUUUUCUCCCCAUGGGAAGCACAUAAUCCCAUUAGAGGCCACGGGAAGCUUUUUUGUUGGGCUUUGAGGGAAAAAAGGCUUUUGCAGCCAAUGAAUCGAUCAAUGUGUACUUCAACCUGGAUUGUAUGUAUGCAUCUCCUAGAUUGGGCGGAUGAUGAAGUGAGGCUGGAAGUGCUGAGCAUCUUCCUACCUGGGAUGACUGGGCUGAGCAGGAAGCCUACCCCGGGGUUCCAGCCAAGUUGGAGCCUGUGAGUGUGUGGUGUAGUUUAACGCCCUGAUUAAAUCACUAGGAAGCCAUUUCUCUCUCUCCUCCCAGACCAGAUCAGACAAUAUGUUCCCUUAUUUCUACUAAAGCCCCAAUUGGAUUUUGUGUCUUUUGAUACUGAAAGAAUCUUACCACAAAUAAAAUAAUUUGUCAUGUGGCUCCUACAUAUUUAUUCAGUUACAUAAACUAACUAAAUAAAUGAAUAAACUGUCAAUAAUGGUAGUUCCUCAUCUAUGAAUGACUCUUUACAAAGCCUAUCUCGCUUAAUAGUCAUAAUAAAUACUGAAGUAGAUACUAUUUAUACCUUUUUUUUAAAAGGAAUUAAAUAUUUUCAGGGUUAUACAAAGCAUGAGUAUUGUGGGUACAAAUUCAAGCUUUCUAACUCAAAUUUGAAGACUUAUCCCCAGGAUACUUUUACAUCUUUAGCUAGUACCAUGUAUACCUCAAAAGCUUACAUUAUUUUUCACAUGUGUUAGGUUUUGAGGGAUAAUCAAUAAGGAGGGCAUACUUUCAGGCUUCUUAUUUAUAACUGUGAAAUUUAGAAAUUGAUGGAGUAGCAGAUUUCUCGGUAGGAGACAGCUGUUUUAAAAUGCCCCAUGUUUUUAUUAAAGUAAAAAUCUCAAAAAUUGUCUUUUAAAAAGUGGCUCUGGCCAAUCUUAGAUAAAACAUCAUUUACUAGACUUAGGAAUUUCCUGUAGUAAAUUUCAGAUUUACUUUUCGGUCUCACAUCAUCAAAGAGAUCAUAACCCUUUGUGCAAUUAUGGUCUUGAACCAAGGCCUAUUCUCUAGGUCACUGCUGUCAGGACUUCAAGAUAAUUGUUUCCAUUGCAGGAUUUGAUUUUUAAUUCCCCGGAUGUUCUUGACGUGGUUCAGUUCUUCAGGAAAUCAUCACCCUCAUGAGCCCUCCCUGCCACUUGCAGAUAGGGCUUUCUCCCGGUAAGUUCUGGAGUCACGGCAGAGCUCAAUAAGUCUGAUUGGGACCUCCUAUGAUUAU
rnacentral:lncRNA from 10 species